GACGAACGCUGGCGGCGUGCUUAACACAUGCAAGUCGAACGGUGACCCAGGGCUUGCCCUGGUGAUCAGUGGCGAACGGGUGAGUAACACGUGGGCAACCUGCCCCUGACUUCGGGAUAACUCCUCGAAAGAGGAGCUAAUACCGGAUACGACCACUUCGGACAUCCGAUGGUGGUGGAAAGUUUUUCGGUCAGGGAUGGGCCCGCGGCCUAUCAGCUAGUUGGUGGGGUAAUGGCCUACCAAGGCGACGACGGGUAGCCGGCCUGAGAGGGCGACCGGCCACACUGGGACUGAGACACGGCCCAGACUCCUACGGGAGGCAGCAGUGGGGAAUAUUGCGCAAUGGGCGAAAGCCUGACGCAGCGACGCCGCGUGAGGGAUGAAGGCCUC
rnacentral:rRNA from 1 species